rnacentral:lncRNA from 1 species
AGAAUUCUACAGAAAAUCGGGCAGAGUUUCCUUUGUUUUUAGGCCUAUCCUUGAUUUUUCCUGUCUCAGAAUUUCACAACACAACUAAUAGCAACUAUAAACCACCAUUUAAUAUCCAUCAAUGAUCAAAUUGUCACGCAAUAAAACCAAUUCAUCUCCAAAUUACGGAAAAAAAGUUCCAAACUAGUCACUUGACUACAAUUCGAAGGACUAAUCUUGACUCAAAUCAAAGGAAUGACAAAUGGAGCAACUCUAAGAGUUUUUAAAAGAAACUAAAUAAACAUAACAAAUCAAUAGUUCUGUUGCCACGCGAAGCAAUGCGGGGCUCACCAGAUGCUACCAACUCACACGCUAGUUAAUGAAAUCCUCUUCAAUACCACUUGAAUUUUUUGUAAAAACAAAUAGCGAGGAGUGAGACGCUAGCUCAGUGAGUAAU